GAAAUGCGAUAAGUAAUGUGAAUUGCAGAAUUCAGUGAAUCAUCGUAUCUUUGAACGCACAUUGCGCCCGCCAGUAUUCUGGCGGGCAUGCCUGUCCGAGCGUCAUUUCAACCAUCAAGCCCCCGGGCUUGUGUUGGGGACCUGCGGCUGCCCGCAGGCCCUGAAAACCAGUGGCGGGCUCGCUGUCACACCGAGCGUAGUAGCAAUCACCUCGCUCAGGGCGUGCUGCGGGUUCCGGCCGUUAAACAGCCUUACAAAACCCAAGGUUGACCUCGGAUCAGGUAGGAAGACCCGCUGAACUUAAGC
rnacentral:misc_RNA from 1 species